UGACCAUGACCGUGAACCAGACUGGUCUCUGCUCUCGAGGAACUUCCAAUCUAGUGGGAAGAGCCAUGUGAAUUUCAAACGGGCAUAUAUGACACUUGCUGAGCACCUGCUUUAUGCAAAGCACUGGGGAUACAAAAAGAAAGAUGUGCGCACUGCCCUCCAGGAGCUCCCAGCCCAGUGCAGGGAGGCAGAGAGGUACACAGAAAG
rnacentral:lncRNA from 10 species